CUUCCAACCUCUAAGGGGAGUGGCGGACGGGUGAGUAACGCGUGGGCAAUCUGCCCGUAAGAGGGGGAUAACAUCGGGAAACCGGUGCUAAUACCGCAUAAUAUCUGUAUACCGCAUGGUAGGCAGAUUAAAGGAGCGAUCCGCUUACGGAUGAGCCCGCGUCUGAUUAGCUAGUUGGUGGGGUAACGGCCUACCAAGGCGACGAUCAGUAGCCGGCCUGAGAGGGUGACCGGCCACACUGGAACUGAGACACGGUCCAGACUCCUACGGGAGGCAGCAGUGGGGAAUCUUCCGCAAUGGGCGAAAGCCUGACGGAGCGACGCCGCGUGAACNAAGAAGGCCUUCGGGUUGUAAAGCUCUGUCAUCAGGGAAGAAGAGAGUGACGGUACCUGAGGAGGAAGCCACGGCUAACUACGUGCCAGCAGCCGCGGUAAUACGUAGGUGGCAAGCGUUGUCCGGAAUUACUGGGCGUAAAGAGCGCGUAGGCGGGCGCUUAAGUCAGGGGUGAAAACUGGCAGCUCAACUGCCAGCCUGCCUUUCAGACUGGGCGUCUUGAGGACAGGAGAGGAGAGCGGAAUUCCUAGUGUAGCGGUGAAAUGCGUAGAUAUAGAGACAUCAGUGGCGAGGCGACCACUGGGCUAUACUGACACUGAGUGCGAAAGCGUGGGGAGCAAACAGGAUUAGAUACCUGGUAGUCCACGCCGUAAACGAUGGGUACUAGGUGUAGGAGGUAUCGACCCAUUCUGUGCCGCAGUUAACACAUUAAGUACCCCGCCUGGGGAGUACGGCCGCAAGGUUGAAACUCAAAGGAAUUGACGGGGGCCCGCACAAGCGGUGGAGCAUGUGGUUUAAUUCGACGCAACGCGAAGAACCUUACCAGGGCUUGACAUCCUCUGACAGCUUCAGAGAUGGAGUGUUCUCUUCGGAGACAGAGAGACAGGUGGUGCAUGGUUGUCGUCAGCUCGUGUCGUGAGAUGUUGGGUUAAGUCCCGCAACGAGCGCAACCCUUAUCCUUAGUUGCCAGCGAGUAGAGUCGGGCACUCUAGGGAGACUGCCGGUGACAAACCGGAGGAAGGUGGGGAUGACGUCAAAUCAUCAUGCCCCUUAUGUCCUGGGCUACACACGUGCUACAAUGGCCAGUACAGAGGGAAGCGAAGCCGCGAGGUGGAGCAAAUCCCAAAAAGCUGGUCUCAGUUCGGAUUGUAGUCUGCAACUCGACUACAUGAAGUCGGAAUCGCUAGUAAUCGCAGGUCAGCACACUGCGGUGAAUACGUUCCCGGGC
rnacentral:rRNA from 1 species